rnacentral:pre_miRNA from 1 species
UAGCUACUCCCUCCGUCCGGAAAUACUUGUCAUCAAAAUGGAUAAAAGAAGAUGUAUCUAGACGUAUUUUAGUUCUAGAUACAUCCUUUUUUUAUCCAUUUUGAUGACAAGUAUUUCCGGACGGAGGGAGUACCAU